GUGGGGAAUAUUGGACAAUGGGCGAAAGCCUGAUCCAGCCAUGCCGCGUGUGUGAAGAAGGUCUUCGGAUUGUAAAGCACUUUAAGUUGGGAGGAAGGGCAGUAAGUUAAUACCUUGCUGUUUUGACGUUACCGACAGAAUAAGCACCGGCUAACUUCGUGCCAGCAGCCGCGGUAAUACGAAGGGUGCAAGCGUUAAUCGGAAUUACUGGGCGUAAAGCGCGCGUAGGUGGUUUUGUAAGUUGGAGGUGAAAGCCCCGGGCUCAACCUGGGAACUGCCUCCAAAACUGCAUGACUAGAGUACGGUAGAGGGUAGUGGAAUUUCCUGUGUAGCGGUGAAAUGCGUAGAUAUAGGAAGGAACAACAGUGGCGAAGGCGACUACCUGGACUGAUACUGACACUGAGGUGCGAAAGCGUGGGGAGCAAACAGGAUUAGAAACCCCUGUAGUCC
rnacentral:rRNA from 1 species